CUUGGACAGAGCUGCCUUGUUCCCAUCUCCUUGGUCACAGGCCAUUGUGAGGCAUGAAGUUCUGGGGGUGAGAGGCAUCCCGGAGCUUGGAUGCCCUAUAAAGGCUCAGGCUGGCAUGACUCCUAAAUUAAUAAUGUAUUUAGCUGUGGGAAGAGGUCUUUGAGAUCUAGGGCCGGAGGAGGUGGCCCUCUGAAUGUGUGAGUGCACAACGUGGCACAAAAAGGGUUACCCAGAGCAGCAGCCAUCUUGCUGCAGCCCAGGCUUUGUUCCCAGCUGAGGAGCUGAGUAGCCUUGGACUGCAAGCCCCGCCCAACACUGACUGGCGUUUCUCUCAAGCCCAGAGGCCCGGCACGAGCGGAUCCCAAAAUGGUGAUGAAACUGGCACCUGGCCCAACAACCAGUUUGAUACAGAGAUGCUGCAAGCCAUGAUCUUGGCUUCUGCCAGCGAAGCCGCCGAUGGGAGCUCUACCCUGGGAGGGGGCGCUGGCACCAUGGGUCUGAGCGCUCGAUACGGACCCCAGUUUACCCUGCAGCACGUGCCUGACUACCGCCAGAACGUGUACAUCCCUGGCAGCAAUGCCACGCUGACCAAUGCCGCCGGCAAACGAGAUGGCAAGGCUCCUGCGGGUGGUAACGGCAACAAGAAGAAGUCGGGCAAGAAAGAGAAGAAGUAAUAUGGAGGCCAGGCCUUGAGCCACAAGGCAGCCUCCCUCCCCAGCCAGUCCAGCUCCUCCUUACUUGUACCCAGGCCUCAGAAUUUCAGGGCUCACCCCAGGAUACUGGUAGGAGCCAUGGCCAUGCUCCCCGUUGGGAAACAGAAACAAGUGCCCAAGCCAACACCCCUCUCUAUACCCUAGGGGGUUGAAUAUGCAAAGAGAGUUCUGCUGGGACCCCCCUAGCCAAUCAGUGAUUGUACCCACAUG
ensembl:processed_transcript Gm38182 predicted gene, 38182